rnacentral:tRNA from 1 species
GGAUGGAGCUCAGUGGUAGAGCGCUUGCCUGGCCAGUGUGAGGCCUGGGCUCCAUCCCCAGCCACACA